rnacentral:rRNA from 1 species
CGGUACCUGAAGAAAAAGCAUCGGCUAACUCCGUGCCAGCAGCCGCGGUAAUACGGAGGAUGCAAGCGUUAUCCGGAAUCAUUGGGCGUAAAGGGUCCGCAGGUGGCGAAUGAAGUCUGCUGUUAAAGACCGGGGCUUAACUCCGGAAAGGCAGUGGAAACUGAUUAGCUAGAGUAAGGUAGGGGUAGAGGGAAUUCCCAGUGUAGCGGUGAAAUGCGUAGAUAUUGGGAAGAACACCGGUGGCGAAAGCGCUCUACUAGGCCGAAACUGACACUGAGGGACGAAAGCUAGGGUAGCGAAAGGGAUUAGAUACCCCUGUAGUCUUAGCGGUAAACGAUGGAUACUAGGUGUAGCUUGUAUCGACCCGAGCUGUGCCGAAGCUAACGCGAUAAGUAUCCCGCCUGGGGAGUACGCACGCAAGUGUGAAACUCAAAGGAAUUGACGGGGGCCCGCACAAGCGGUGGAGUAUGUGGUUUAAUUCGAUGCAACGCGAAGAACCUUACCAGGGCUUGACAUGUCGCGAAUCUAGCGGAAACGUUAGAGUGCCUUAGGGAAUGCGAACACAGGUGGUGCAUGGCUGUCGUCAGCUCGUGUCGUGAGAUGUUGGGUUUAGUCCCGCAACGAGCGCAACCCUCGUCCUUAGUUGCCAAUAUUAAGUUAGGCACUCUAGGGAGACUGCCGGGGACAACUCGGAGGAAGGUGGGGAUGACGUCAAGUCAGCAUGCCCCUUACGUCCUGGGCUACACACGUACUACAAUGGUUGGGACAAAGGGCAGCAAGCCCGCGAGAGUAAGCGAAUCUCAUCAAACCCAGCCACAGCUCAGAUUGCAGGCUGCAACUCGCCUGCAUGAAGUAGGAAUCGCUAGUAAUCGCAGGUCAGCAUACUGCGGUGAAUUCGUUCCCGGGCCUUGUACACACCGCCCGUCACACCAUGGAAGCUGGCUACGCCCGAAGUCGUUACCCUAACCCGGUUUUGGGAGGGGGAUGCCGAAGGUAGAGCUAGUGACUGGGGUGAAGUCGUAACAAGGUAGCCGUACCGGAAGGUGUGGCUGGAUCACCUCCUUU